ACGAACGCUGGCGGCAUGCCUAACACAUGCAAGUCGAACGAGACCUUCGGGUCUAGUGGCGCACGGGUGCGUAACGCGUGGGAAUCUGCCCUUGGGUACGGAAUAACAGCGAGAAAUUGCUGCUAAUACCGUAUAAUGACGUAAGUCCAAAGAUUUAUCGCCCAGGGAUGAGCCCGCGUAGGAUUAGCUUGUUGGUGAGGUAAAAGCUCACCAAGGCGACGAUCCUUAGCNGGUCUGAGAGGAUGAUCAGCCACACUGGGACUGAGACACGGCCCAGACUCCUACGGGAGGCAGCAGUGGGGAAUAUUGGACAAUGGGCGAAAGCCUGAUCCAGCAAUGCCGCGUGAGUGAUGAAGGCCUUAGGGUUGUAAAGCUCUUUUCAGCUCCGACGAAGCGAGAGUGACGGUAGGAGCAGAAGAAGCACCGGCCAACUACGUGCCAGCAGCCGCCGCUGUAAC
rnacentral:rRNA from 1 species